rnacentral:rRNA from 1 species
UUCCGUUGGUGAACCAGCGGAGGGAUCAUUG